CCCUACCAUGCUACAUGUGUAUUCAUUUUUCAUGUGGUGAUGACUUACUUGCCAGCGACAUGUGCAUUUUCAAUAAAAGCCAGAGCGGCCUCCAGGCCUUUAAGCUGAGCCACAGCAUUAGAAUCGGUCACAAACUUCUUUAUUAGGCCCAGGU